rnacentral:misc_RNA from 1 species
GCUUGAACCACUUCUCCCAUGAAAGGGCGAUGCGAUACUUCUGGUUGUACACACAUUGAUGCUAUUGCUGCAACUUUACUGAUACUAUCAAUUGGGAUAUCAGACUCCAUAGCUUUAUCUAUUAUUAUUUCUAAACCUUCCUUGGUUGUCAGGAGGGGACGAGCCCAGGCUACAAGAUUUUCUUGACCUUGAGGUUGUGAUAAAUCCACAGGUUUUCGUCCGCUCAAGAGCUCAAGGAGAACUACACCAUAGCUAUAAACAUCA